UACGAAGGGUGCAAGCGUUACUCGGAAUUACUGGGCGUAAAGCGUGCGUAGGUGGUGAGUUAAGUCUGAUGUGAAAUCCCCGGGCUCAACCUGGGAAUGGCAUUGGAUACUGGCUCGCUCGAGUGCGGUAGAGGGUGGUGGGAAUUCCCGGUGUAGCAGUGAAAUGCGUAGAGAUCGGGAGGAACAUCUGUGGCGAAGGCGGCCACCUGGACCAGCACUGACACUGAGGCACGAAAGCGUGGGGAGCAAACAGG
rnacentral:rRNA from 1 species